rnacentral:rRNA from 1 species
AUUGAACGCUGGCGGCAGGCCUAACACAUGCAAGUCGAGCGGAGCGGCGGACGGGUGAGUAAUGCCUAGGUAUCUGCCUGGUAGUGGGGGAUAACGUCCGGCUACGGGCGCUAAUACCGCCUAUUAUCAGUCGAGCCUAGGUGGGUUUAGCUAGUUGGUGGGGUAAAGGCCUACCAAGCAGACGAUCCGUCACUGGUCUGAGAGGAUGAUCAGUCACACUGGAACUGAGACACGGUCCAGACUCCUACGGGAGGCAGCAGUGGGGAAUAUUGGACAAUGGGCGAAAGCCUGAUCCAGCCAUGCCGCGUGUGUGAAGAAGGUCUUCGGAUUGUAAAGCACUUUAAGUUGGGAGGCGUUACCAACAGAAUAAGCACCGGCUAACUUCGUGCCAGCAGCCGCGGUAAUUC